CCGCCCGUCACAGCAUGGGAGUUGGUUUCACCUUAAGCCGGUGUGCUAACCUAGCAAUAGGAGGCAGCCGACCACGGUGGGGUCAAUGACUGGGCUG
rnacentral:rRNA from 1 species